AGAGCCUCCCAGCACGGCACCAGUGCUCAGCAGCUGGCAUUGCCCCAAACUACAGAAGGAAUUACAGCCUAGGAAGUUACUGCAGUUCUACUGCGCACUCGUCCCUUUGUCUGCUUUGCCUGCAGAGAGCACAUGGACUGAAAAGCAGCAGUGGCUUAAUUGACCUUUGAAACCGAAAUGCUAAUCCAAGCCCUACAUCACGUGUGGCUCUGAGUCCUGCUAAGCUUUUGGUCGAUUCCCAGUGGUACCAUUUAAGCAGCUCCGUAGGGACUUAAAUCUGUACUUCAUAACCGCCAGCAUGAGCAAGUGCAGCCAUUGUGUGCCUCAGAUUUAUUCAAAGCACCAACACGGAGUCUUGUGCAGUUUCCCUUUUACAGGAAACGGGAGGAGGGCUUGCAUUAGGUCAGCUGAGUUGAGGAGUCUCACAACUCUCCCUUUCACAUUUAAACUCAGUGCAGCCUAGACCUUGCUGCAAAUCAGUGAGAUAGCAAUAAUUUCUUGCUAAAUUAGUGUUUUUUAAAUUAAAAUUACAAAGUAUGUUCUACAACAUACAAGUAGUUGAUUCUUGCAGUGUACCUUGCAGUUGAUUCUCAGUGUACCUCAGGUGAGCUACCAGUAUCAAGGUUUCAGUUUUUAACAGGUAUUUCAUAUCUGCAUGAUACUGGUAAACAACUUAAAGCUGACACAAAACACUCAAAAUUUCCCCUUCCACUCUUUGCCUCUCUCCCCAGUCUGCUCUACAUUAUUUAUCUAUCUUUUAAUGCUAAACCAGAACCUGACAGUGCUGUAAGGCUAGCAUAAUUAUUUGCUGGAGUGACCCACUCUUGUCGAUAUAAGCAUGCUCUCAGCAGCUUAAAAAGGAAUUAAAAUGGCACUGCCAAUUAAGCUAGAAGGUUUUAAUGAAGGCUGUACGAAAACAACAUGUAGUCAUCAUAAUAGCACAGUCUUGUGAUAUCUGCAGUAUUUUGCUUCACUCCAUAUACUUUCACCCUCUGACAAACUCUCGCUAACUUGAUGCAGGACAUUUCAAACACAAAUCAAGGUGCAGCUAAAAAAACGUACCUUACCUCAGUGUCCCCAUUGCCAUGUUUUGAGUUUUGUGGAAGCUUCUGUUAACAUUCACUUGCCCUAAUCUCUCUUGAAAUAAAAGGCUCAUUUACAUUUUUAAAACUACAUUGAACUAAGGAUGUCUCACUUUUUUUGCACGAAGGCUUUUCAGACUUCAGCAUUCUGAUUUACGAACAGAUUUUGCCUCAAAACCCCCCAUGCGAGUAGAACAGCGCAGAAAGUCUGCAACUCCAGCAACCAUGCAUUAAAUAAUGCCAUCUUGUGAGAACACUGUAGGAGCUGUGGAGUGUCACUUACUCCAUCUUCAGUUGUGCACAGAUGUGUCCCUUCCUGCCCCCUUGCUCACCAGGCAGUUUGGUUUAACUAACUGCUCAUUUCACAUCCACCAACCAGCAUGUGACAUCAGUGUUUCUGAUACGUACGUGUUCUCAUCCAGUGAGCCAGACUAAUGCACAUUUACUCUACAAAUUUCUUUUACUUCAUCUAAAUCUUUCAGACAUGAAAACUUUUGUAUUUUUCUCCACAAGGAGAGAGAACUCCAGUAUUAAAUUCUUUCAGCAGCUUGUUAAAAUACGCCUUUCAACACUUCAGGCAAGCUGCUAAGUUGAACACUAAGUAUUUCUCAAUUCAAACACCUUAAAUUAAUCCUCAUCCUUGCUCCUCAGAAGCUCAAGUAAUCCAGCAAACACAGAAAGAUGACAUUAACAGACAAAACGUAGCAAUUUCUUUCUCUGGACUUAAUACACAUUUUUGGUACGUUGUUUCCCACGUAUUAUCAAUCCUUUGUAAGCCCAUAAUGUCAGUAUAAACGGCAAUAUCUCCAACACAUCAAGCUUUGUGUACUGCCUGUCUGCAGCACCCAUGCGCAGGGUAUUAGUAGGUACAAUACCAAGAACACAGAGUUCCACAUUUCACUUGAGUGCCAGUACUUCCUUGUGUAUUAAGAGAAACUCACAGGAAAUGAGUGGAUAAGGGAAUUGCAGGUUGUAUGUAUUGUACAGUUCCACUAAAUUUCUGUAGGAUUGCAGAAUACGCAGUCUUUGUGCCAAGACUGACUCUAGGCUUUGUGACAAAGAUUUAAGACUAGAACGAAGAAGUCAAUUACACUGUAUGUUGAGUUUGGGUUUUAUCCCCAAUUUGUGA